rnacentral:snoRNA from 14 species
AAGCAGCAUCAGUACAGCGGUGGCUCCACUAAAUACGCUAUGGUGCCAUUCGCUGGCGAUGUGGCGAGA